UCUAAUGUGUUUCUCGAUUUAACUUUGUAACGUAAUAUUAUUAGCUUACUAUUUUAGUCGACAGCUAAAGACUGUUUGAAGGCAUAUAGCUCAACGUCAGCUACUAAUAUCAAAGAUUUGGCAAGCAUUUCAGGCUCGGUGGAAAUGCGUUUAUUUUACACCUCGUUUGUUUUGUGCGUCCUCUCUGCAUGCCACAUGACCACAUCCACCUGUGAUGAGCUCCUGUCUUCAGAAGAUGCUGAGUUCUGCAAGGGAAAAUUAAAGGCGAUUUACCCUGAUCUGGUUGUCGACAAAUGCAUGAUCGUCCCUCAGAGGAUCAGAGAGAAGAUCAGUAAGGAGUGGGGACCACCUCAAGUACAGCUGCCAAGUGCUGGUGAGGUGAAGAAAUACACUCUAUUAAUGGUGGAUCCAGAUGCUCCUAGUCGUCAGAAACCGUCUCGCGCUUACUGGAGACACUGGUUACUGGUUGACAUUAAGCAUGUGUGCAGAUGGACCCUUCCUCCCGUACCGCUGCCAACUCGCCACUCGCAGUCAGUCGCCAUCUCCAGUCACCACUCGAGAUUUCUGGCACUUGUCGCAAACCAGAGAGCCCACUCCACACAUUUGUGUCAUUAUGCGGAGCAUUUCUCCCUCAGUAACACAUCAUCUUAUGCUCUUCGGCUUUCAUCCAACAGUUACCGUGCAACCGGUCUGCGCUUGGGCACUUGAACUGUUCCUGGCUCAGGCCUGACCAGUCCUGCUUUUCUCCAACCAGCCAUUCAUGCCUCUCAAGAUCCUGUUAACCGUUGUCUGGGACUUUCAUUGCAAUUCAAGAGCUCUUGACUGGCGAAGCCGAUGCAGAUUGAAUUGGUAAUGAAGUUAUUAAUUCUGUUGGAGCAGAUGGUGAUGGAAGAGGGGAAUGGGGAGCUGAAAUGCCCCUGUAGCUCCGCACUCAGCCCGCCUGACCCGUUCUGUCUCUCAAUUCCCUCCUGCUCAUGGAAUACUACCAAAAAACAAUCCCCGAACAGCUUGUUCUGCCUCAAACGGACUUUUCCUCCAGAUCACAACGCUCCUAUGUCUUGCUCUGUCUGAUUUCAGUAUCUCUUUCUCUCGCUCUCUCUUUCUCCUCACAUGAAAGCGGAUGUUUUGUUUGCUCUGCCGACAGAAACAAAAGGCAGAGUCAUUAGCGAUAGAGAGUAGUUUGCUUAUGUAAAUAAACCGCUAGGUGAAAAAUCCUUCUUUACUUUUCACCCUAAUAGUCCACCCACAGAUUGCAGUAUCACAUCACCCAAGAGCUGUUGG